AGUAUUUUGAUAGAUUACGUAUAAAUGCUCUUGGAAUACUAUUAUUUUUACUUCUUACCAAACACUAAAAAUUAAGUAAGAAAUUCACUCAUUUUUUUCAAAAAAAAAAAAAAAAAAACUAGGAAAACAAUUUUCAUGAAAAAACAUUUUCCUUCAUACCAAACACAUCCUAAACUCAUAUACCACGUAAAUAAGUGGACCCCCACAAAUCCCCUUGACUGGUGGCUAUAUAAACCACUCUUCUUCUUCCUUUUUCCUUACUAAUUCUUCUUCUCUAUAUACUAAAUUCCUUCUGUUUUUCAGAUGACACCGAAGGAAAACGAUGACGCAGAAGUGAUAGUAGCGGUUCCCCCCGAUAAGGUGCAUUAUAGCGGUGUGAGGAAGAUGUCAUGGGAGAGGUACAUAACUAAGAUCAGAGAUCCUGACUAGAGCACAUGUGUCUAGCACGAAACUUUUGAUACGCUGGAGGAAGCUACUCGGGCCUAUGAAAUAACUAUGUGGCUCUUACGGUGCCACAGGCCUGUAAAUAAUUUUCCUCAGCAACAGAAGAUAACCUCACAAAUGCUAACGACGGCAUUAGGUGUGAGGUCCAGCGUCAGUCAGUGCCUCUCAAUCUUGAGCUUUCCCUUGCACCUGCAGGGAGCAUGUGAAACCGCCUACAUUUGUUAUCCAAUAUUGCAUCACAUUUCUUAAAUCCCUUUUCGUCUAAUUUUAUAAGCAUUAGUUUAAUUUUCAUUUUGUUGCUCUGAAUAUUCAUAAAAAAACUGGAGCACUUGUUUAUUUUUGGAAGAGGAUAAAAAAAUGUCAUGAUAUAUUUUAUACCUAUCAUAGGAAUGUCCCCUGUCGUGAUCUUUUCUCAUAUCUCCUAACAACAAGAAAAGAUGUAGAAAUGCCAACAAAAUGUGAAACUCAUAGCUGCAGAAAAGAUUAGGUAAAAAGAAGGUGGCAUGGCUGCAAAAACACCAGUUGCCUGCGAAAGAGAAGAACUCAAAUCACCAAGCAAUCCCGUUAUUUGCCAAGAAUAUAUAUGGGUUUGAAGGAAAACAGUGACGCAGCAGUGACGGUAACGGUUUCCCCAGAUAAGGUGCAUUAUAGCGGUGUGAGGAAGAUGCCAUGGGAGAGGUACAUAACUAAGAUCAGAGAUCCCGACUACCACGUGUCUGGCUCAAAACUUUGAUAUGCCGGAGGAAGCUGCUCGGGUCUAUGGUAUGGCUAUGUGGCUCUUACGGGGCCACAAGCCUGUAAAUAAUUUUCCUCAGACAACUAAGGUUGACCUCACAAAUGCUAACGACGACAGUGGAUGUGAGGUCCAGAGUCAGCCAGAGCCUCUCAAUCUUGAGCUUUCCCUUGCACCUCCAGGGAGCGUGUGAAACUCUCGACAUUUCUUAUCCAGUAUUGCAUCACAUUUCUUAAAUCCCUUUUUCUUUUAAUUUUAUAAGAACUAGUUUAAUUUUCAUUUUGUUGCUCUGAAUAUCCAUAAAAAAGUUGGAGCUCUUGCUUUUUUUUUUUUGGAACAGGACGAGAAAAGAUCAUGAUAUAUUUUAUUCCUGUCAUACGAAUGUUCCAUGUUAUGAUCUUUUCUCAUAACUCCUAACGACAGGAAAAGAGUGGAAAUGAUGUUAAUUUAGAAAUUUAUGUCUUCUCCAUUGUAUUACUUUUCUGUCUUUGUUUCCUUUCCAAAAUUCUGUUGGAUGAAUUUUUGUGUCUUUAUGUACCAUUCUUUAACACCCAAAAAACAUCGCAGAAUACCUACUCUUUACGUACCAUCCUUUAACACCCAAAAAACAUCGCAGAAUACCUACUCUUUACGUACCAUUCUUUAACACCCAAAAAACAUCGCAGAAUACCUAAAGACCCUCCUAAACUUGGCUUAUUGAAGAAUAUUCAACCAAAUUAUUUCGUGCAAUUUAUGUGCUUUUGAUACAAAAUUGCAGGUGCCGACAAUAUGUGAAACUCAUAUCUGCAUAAAAGAUCAGGUAAAGAGAAGGUGGCAUGGCUGCAAAAACACCAGUUGCCUGAAAAAGAGAAGAACUGAAAUCACCAAGCAAUUCAGUUAUUUGCCCAGAAUAUAUACGGUUUUGGUAGCUUCAAUGCCCAAAUUAUUCAGCCGAUCACCAUAGCUGUCUCUUUAUGUACCAUCCUUUAACACCCAAAAUACAUCGCAGAAUACCUAAAGACCCUCAUAAACUUGUCUUAUUGAAGAAUAAUCGACAAAACCUUACCUAAUAUAUUAACUACAAAUCGAAAUCAAAUUUAAUUUUGUACAUUUUUGGGUUAUCCCCACAAGAACCCUUAGAAAACAUUUUUAGAUCUCUAUAUUUUUUUGAGUUGAGAAAAAAUGACAAAAGUCAAUGAAAAAAGGCUUUAGCUUUCCUUUUUCAUGACGGGGGUGUGGCAUGGCACAUUAGAGAGAUAGAAAACGACAAUAUGGCAUGCAAUUUCAUAACAGUAGUUAGGUACUGGAAGAUACAGAUGUGUGUGCACUACUUUCCACGUAUCAGAAAAGUAUGAAAAUGCCAUCAACUAAGGGUGUGUUCAGUAUGGGAAAAAUAAUUUUUCAAUUUUCUCAUGUCUGGUUGGUCAAAAUAUUUUGGAAAACAUUGUAUAGGAAAACAAGUUCCUUAAAAUGAGGAAAAUGACGUCCCUAAUG